rnacentral:rRNA from 1 species
GGGUCAGUAGGUUGGUCGUGCCACCGGUACGUACUGGUCUCACUGAUUCCUCCUUCCUGAAGUACCGUAAUGCCAUUAAUUCGGUGUUGCGGGGAAACAGGACUGUUACUUUUAAAAAAUUAGAGUGUUUAAAGCAAGCUAACGCUUGAAUACAUUAGCAUGGAAUAAUGAAAUAGGACGAUCGAUCCUAUUUUGUUGGUUUCUAGGAUUGACGUA